rnacentral:lncRNA from 1 species
CCCAGUCCCCGCCCCGAGGCUGUCGCGGGCGGUUAGGUCCGGCGGGAGCUUCUGUUUCACUGGCGCGCCCACUAUGACGAUCACCUACAGCUGCAUUGCUAAUGGCCGAAUGGUCUUAGCGGAGUUGGCCCUGACCGGCGGCUCCUAUCAGGAAGCAGCGUCAACAGUGCUUAGACUAGUGCUUCUUAGAGCUGAACCAAAGACCGUAAUUCAAAUGGGAAGCUUCGUCUACCAUACUCUCUUUAUUGAUGGAAUCACUUACCUAUGUGCCUCAGACAAUGCCCUGGAUACUGUAACACCAUCUGCAUUUCUCAAAAAUGUUAGUGAUACUUUUCUGAGAAAUCCUUUGCUGUCAGAAGAAUAUUUUUCUCCUUCAAAUGCAGUUGCUGCAGAUUUUCAACAAGUAUUAGGAAAGUAUAUGGUAAAAUACAAUAAAAACCAAGAUAACAGCUCUAUAUCCACCCUGAGGAGUCAAGUAACUGAUGUAAAAAAUGCUAUGACCCAAAAUAUUGAUAAAAUUUUGGAGAGCGAAGAAAGAUCAAAUAUCUUCCCCGACAGUACAGAUGAUCUUCAAACAGCUGUCAAAGAAUCCCAAAAAACAAGACAGAUUCUUAGGAGGAUAUGGUGGAAACACUUCAAAAAGAUUAUAAUCAUCACUGUGGCAAUUCUCCUUUCAAUCAUCAUCAUUCUUUUAACUACAAAUGUAAUACCAAUCUGACCUUUCUUCUCCCCAUCCCCAGCAGGUUAGUAUGUUGUUUCUGGGGGACAGACAGGAAUGUGAAGAGGAGUACUCUGAGAAGAGGAAUUGUCAUGUAUUUUGCUGCCAUGACUUUUGAAGCCCUAUAAAAUUUGCCUCCUAACAUUUCUGUAAUUUUUAUUAUGUAUAAAAACAAAGUAUUUGUAUCCUGAUUGCCAGUGAGUACUAGCGUAUUUAUUGCUAGAAGACAUGGAACUUAAAGGUCACCUAAUCUAGC